rnacentral:rRNA from 1 species
GACGGGUGCUGCAUGGCUGUCGUCAGCUCGUGUUGUGAAAUGUUGGGUUAAGUCUCGCAACGAGCGCAACCCCUAUCUUUAGUUGCCAGCAUUAAGUUGGGCACUCUAGAGAGACUGCCUGGGUUAACCAGGAGGAAGGUGGGGAUGACGUCAAGUCCUCGUGGCCCUUAUGUCCAGGGCUACACACGUGAUACGAUGGUGCAUACAAAGGGAAGCGACCUGGUGACAGUGAGCAAAUCUCAAAAAGUGCAUCUCAGUCCGGAUUGGAGUCUGCAACUCGACUCCAUGAAGUUGGAAUCGCUAGUA